ensembl:rRNA 5S_rRNA 5S ribosomal RNA
GCUUACAGCCAUACCACCCUGAGCACGACCGAUCUCGUCUGAUCUCGGAAGCUAAGCAGGGUCGGGCCUGGUUAGUACUUGGAUGGGAGACCGCCUGGGAAUACCAGGUGCUGUAAGCU